rnacentral:rRNA from 1 species
CCCUUAGAUGUUCUGGGCCGCACGCGCGCUACACUGACGAAUGCAACGAGCUUAUAACCUUGGCCGAAAGGUCUGGGUAAUCUCCAAAUUUCGUCGUGAUGGGGAUAGAGUAUUGCAAUUAUUAAUCUUCAACGAGGAAUGCCUAGUAAGCGCAAGUCAUCAGCUUGCGUUGAUUACGUCCCUGCCCUUUGUACACACCGCCCGUCGCUCCUACCGAUUGAAUGGUCCGGUGAAGCGUUCGGACCGUGGCCUUUGGACGGUUCGCCGUCUGUUGGCUGCGGGAAGUUCGUUAAACCUUAUCAUUUAGAGGAAGGAGAAGUCGUAACA